AUGACAGGGAGAAUUCUGUUCCCAGAAAGAGCUAACAUUGAAUGCAAUUUAGAUGGGACAGAGGAUAACCCUAUAACGUUCUUGGAUCAUAACAGUGCAUCACCAGAGGAGUACUUUUUGGAGAAGUGGAGGACUGAAGUGGGGAGACUAUCUUUCAAAUAUAAAGUUCUAAGGAGCUUCCACGGAGCAGGGAAAGCAAGACGACUAGAGCUGAGCAAUGAAUUGUUCUUUCCUACUCUUCAUGCGGAUCAUUGGUUCGUCUUCCUCGUCGACUUGAAAGCACGACAGUUCAUAUUCCUUGACUCAAAAUAA
rnacentral:rRNA from 1 species